GGGAUUUCCGGUUGAUCCUNNNGGACCUGACUGCUAUCGGAUUAAUACUAAGCCAUGCGAGUUUUUGUAGUAAUACAAGGCAUACGGCUCAAUAACACGUAGUCAACCUACCUUAUGGACGAGGAUAAUCUCGGGAAACUGAGCAUAAUACUCGAUAGAUCAUAAUGCCUGGAAUGGUUUAUGGUUGAAAUGAUUCGUCGCCAUAAGAUGGGACUGCGGCCUAUCAGCUUGUUGGUGAGGUAAUGGCCCACCAAGGCGAUUACAGGUACGGGCUCUGAGAGGAGAAGCCCGGAGAUGGGUACUGAGACAAGGACCCAGGCCCUAUGGGGCGCACAGGCGAGAAAACUUUGCAAUGUGCGAAAGCAGACAAGGUUAGUCCGAGUGAUUUCUGCUAAAGAGAUCUUUUGCAAGUUCUAAAACCACUAGUGAAUAAGGGGUGGGCAAGUUCUGGUGUCAGCCGCCGCGGUAAAACCAGCACCUCGAGUGGUCAGGAGGAUUAUUGGGCCUAAAGCAUCCGUAGCCGGCUCUGUAAGUUUUCGGUUAAAUCCAUGUGCUCAACACAUGGGCUGUCGGAAAUACUGCAUAGCUAGGGAGUGGGAGAGGUAGACGGUACUCAGUAGGAAGGGGUAAAAUCCUUUGAUCUAUUGAUGACCACCUGUGGCGAAGGCGGUCUACCAGAACACGUUCGACGGUGAGGGAUGAAAGCUGGGGGAGCAAACCGGAUUAGAUACCCGGGUAGUCCCAGCUGUAAACGAUGCAGACUCGAUGAUGCAUUGGCAUAUAGCCAGUGCAGUGUCGCAGGGAAGCCGUUAAGUCUGCCGCCUGGGAAGUACGUACGCAAGUAUGAAACUUAAAGGAAUUGGCGGGGGAGCACCACAAGGGGUGAAGCUGCGGUUCAAUUGGAUUCAACGCCGGGAAUC
rnacentral:rRNA from 1 species